rnacentral:rRNA from 1 species
GAUGAACGCUAGCUACAGGCUUAACACAUGCAAGUCGCGGGGCAGCAUGGGGGUUGCUUGCAAUCCCCGAUGGCGACCGGCGCACGGGUGAGUAACGCGUAUCCAACCUGCCCUUCACCACGGGAUAACCCGGCGAAAGUCGAACUAAUACCGUAUGUUGUCCAUUGACGGCAUCCGAUUUGGACGAAAGGUUUGGCGGUGAAGGAUGGGGAUGCGUCCGAUUAGCUGGACGGCGGGGUGACGGCCCACCGUGGCGACGAUCGGUAGGGGUUCUGAGAGGAAGGUCCCCCACACUGGAACUGAGACACGGUCCAGACUCCUACGGGAGGCAGCAGUGAGGAAUAUUGGUCAAUGGGCGUAAGCCUGAACCAGCCAAGUAGCGUGCAGGAUGACGGCCCUAUGGGUUGUAAACUGCUUUUAUGCGGGGAUAAAGUGGCCCACGUGUGGGUUUUUGCAGGUACCGCAUGAAUAAGGACCGGCUAAUUCCGUG